GACGAACGCUGGCGGCGUGCCUAAUACAUGCAAGUCGAGCGGACUGAUGGGAGCUUGCUCCCUGAUGUUAGCGGCGGACGGGUGAGUAACACGUGGGCAACCUGCCCUAUAGCUUGGGAUAACUCCGGGAAACCGGGGCUAAUACCGAAUAAUACAAUUUAGCUCCUGCUAGAUUGUUGAAAGAUGGUUUCGGCUAUCGCUAUAGGAUGGGCCCGCGGCGCAUUAGCUAGUUGGUAGGGUAACGGCCUACCAAGGCGACGAUGCGUAGCCGACCUGAGAGGGUGAUCGGCCACACUGGGACUGAGACACGGCCCAGACUCCUACGGGAGGCAGCAGUAGGGAAUCUUCCACAAUGGACGAAAGUCUGAUGGAGCAACGCCGCGUGAGUGAAGAAGGUUUUCGGAUCGUAAAACUCUGUUGUAAGGGAAGAACAAGUACAGUAGUAACUGGCUGUACCUUGACGGUACCUUAUUAGAAAGCCACGGCUAACUACGUGCCAGCAGCCGCCGUAAAAC
rnacentral:rRNA from 1 species